rnacentral:rRNA from 1 species
CGGGGGGAGCAAGCGUUGCUCGGAUUUACUGGGCGUAAAGGGCGCGUAGGCGGCCACCGCAAGUCGACUGUGAAAUCUCCGGGCUUAACCCGGAAAGGUCAGCCGAUACUGCGGGGCUAGAGUGCAGAAGGGGCAACUGGAAUUCUCGGUGUAGCGGUGAAAUGCGUAGAUAUCGAGAGGAACACCUGCGGCGAAGGCGGGUUGCUGGGCUGACACUGACGCUGAUGCGCGAAAGCUAGGGGAGCGAACGGGAUUAGAUACCCCGGUAGUCCUAGCCUUAAACGAUGAAUGCUUGGUGUCUGGGGUUUUAUAGUCCCCGGGUGCCGUCGCUAACGCUUUAAGCAUUCCGCCUGGGGAGUACGGUCGCAAGACUG